AUAGGAGAUAGAACUUUUUUUUUUUUUAGGUGCUAUAGAGGCAGUACCGUAAGGAAAAGAUGAAAGACAAAAUAAAUAGUAAAAAAAAAAAAAGCAUAAUUACCCCUACUACCUUUUGUAUAAUGAAUUAACUAGAACCAGCUCAGCAAAGUGAAGUGAAGUCAACCAUCCCAAAACCAAAUGAGCUACUUCCAAACAGCUAACAGAGCAAACUCGUCUGUGUAGCAAAAUAGAAGAUUUAGAAGUAGAGGUGAAAAGCCAGCCAAGCUUGGUGAAAGCUGGUUAUCCAAAUAAGAAUCGUAGUUCAGCUUUAAGUUUUCCUAAAAUAUUUCCAAAUUCAAUAAAAACUUAAAACUUACUUUAAAGAGGGACAGCUCUUUAGAACAAGAAAACAACAACUUUCAACAGGGGAUAAAAGGUAAGACCCUCAUAGUUGGCCUGAAAGUAGCCAUUGGUUAACAAAGCUUUCAAGCUCAACAAACCACACAACUCUUAAUCCCAAUAAAACUUAAUGAAGCCCUGACUAACAAUUGGAUUAAUCUAUAAUUAUACAGAAGAAGAAAUGUUAAUAUUAGUAACAAGAAAUCAUUCUCCCUGCACAAGCUUAAAUCAAAUAUACAUUUGAUUGUUAACAAUUUAAUAAGAUGAGACCCCUCAUUAGUAUCCUUAUUAAACUAAUUGUUAACCCAACACAGGAGUGCUAUCCAGGAAAGACAAAAUAAAGCAAAAAGAACUCUGCAAACAUAAAUCCCGCCUGUUUACCAAAAACAUCACCUCUAGCAUUUCCUGUGUUAGAGGCACUGCCUACCCAGUGACAUCAGUUCAAAGGCCGCGUAUCCUGAAUGUGCAAAGGUAGCAUAAUCACUUGUUCUUUAAAUAAGGACUCCUAUGAAUGGCUAGAUGAGCGUUUAACUGUCUCUUGAUCUCCCGGUGAAGAAGUGGGGAUAAUAUAACAAAAGAAGACCCUAUGGAGUUUUAAUUUAUUAAAACUCAACCUACCUCAAACCCAUACGGGCACAAAAACAAAUAGACCUAGACUAAUAAUUUUCAGUUGGCAUGACCUUGGAGAAUAAUAAAACCUCUGAAUGGUAUUAACUUAGACAAUACAAGUCGAAGUUCUUAUCACCAAUUGACCCAAAACUUUUUGAUCAACGGACCAAGUACCCUAGGGAUAACAGCCCAGUUCUAUUGUUAGAGUUCAUGCUGACAACAGGGUUUAUGACCUCGAUGUUGGAUCAGGGCAUCCUAAUGGUGCAGUCUCUAUUAAGGGUUCGUUUUUUCAACGAUUAACAGUCCUACGUGAUGUGAGUUUCUAACCGAAGUAAUCCAGGUUGGUUUCUGUCUACUAAAAACCUCUCCCAGUA
rnacentral:rRNA from 1 species